UGGGAUCAGACCAGCAAAGCUAGCCUCAAGUUUUCUAACCACUUGUCCUUUAAACCAAGGGGUUUUUGUGCAAUCCUGAGUUAGGGGACUGCUGCUCCUCCGCACGCGGAGGAGCCGCACCGGACCGGACGCUUGUUGUUCCCUUUUUUUACAAGUCCUUUCUAUAGUAAAGUAAGAAUAAGUAAACAGCAAACUCCCAAAGCAAGAAUGAGUAGAGAGAAAUGAGAAAGAACGAAGUAACGAACUUCCCCGCGAACUCUCCAACGCACUCUCCAACCAACCCACACCACCAUGCCGUCUCUCUCCUCCUAUAUAGUCCUCUCCACCAAUCCGUGCUCUGCUACCCACACGCCGAGCGCACCGCUCUCCUCCAACCAGGAGCGGCUCUUGCAGCUUGUCAAGUUGGUGAGAGGCAGCUGGGUAGAAGCUGUACGCUCCUCUCCCAGCGCCACAUUGUGGGAGAGCAGAUGCAUAGAAUAAGUCUUAAUUCCAGUAACAGUAUAGUCCGAGUUGCUCCCCACAGGGGACAGGAUCUUUUCACCCCAAGAGAAAUGGAGGCAGGGUGGGGAUAGGGGAUGUCAUGGCCGCAGGCCUCAGAAUCCGGAACUGCAGCUGGAGAGACUCGGCCCUGCAAACAGGGAGGGGACGUUCUGUCCAAUCCCGGCCACUGCUGCAGGCCAGAGGAUCUGCCCCAUGGGGCCUGUGGCUUUCCAGGGAACGCAUUCGCUAGAGUGGGAGAGAUAGAAGUCCAGAGCUUGGGGAGGAGGGGAUCAUUUCUUCCCAGGGUGUGAGCGUUGGGCGCAGGGCCAGACACUCUGCCCAGCCUCCUCCCUGGGCGCUGGGCCCAGGCACUGGGUGAGGAAGCCGCUGCCCCUCCUCUCCUCCACUUUAAAAACAACAUGUAUUUUUGUUGCAUUUUAAAGGCAGAGAGAAGAUGGAGGUAGGGAAAGACAGAAACGGAUCAUCCAUCCGCUGGUUCUCUCCACAAAUGCCCACAGCAGCCAGGGCUGGGCCAGGCCCAGGCUAAGAGCAGAACCAGGGAUUCUACCUUCGAUGCAAGUGGUCCUUGGGCCAUCAGGGGCUGCCUCCCAGGGCUCCCAUUAGUAGGAAGCUGAAUGGGAAGCAAAGAACCCAGACCCUGUGAGAUGAGGGUGCCCCAAGUUGGGCCUUGACAGCUUUGACAAGUACUGGCCCCCCUCCUCUGCCCUGGCCUUGGGUGGGAGGAGGGGCUUGGGCCAUGGCAGCGCCCCCAGCCAGCAGAGGCCUUCCCACCCCAAACUCCCUGGAAGCACGCGUGACUUGGCAGCCGGAGGCGGGGGGCCGCAGUGUAGGGGAGCCCUCCCCUACCUGGAAAGAUGCGCGCAGCCCGGACUCGCGGAGAGCGAGGGCGCCGCUGAUUGGCCCCAAGUUCUGCAGAGCCAUCCAAUGGGCGCGGAGGGCGUGGCCGGGCCUCGGGUCGCCAGGGCGGUGCGCACAGCUGUGAGCUUCAGCGUCCCAGCCGUUCCUGCCCGCACCGUUCCCGGUCCCGCUCCAGUGCCCGCAGCUUGCUGCCCCCGCCCCCAGGCCGGCUUCCUAGGGCUGUCCGCUACCCUCCACCAUGGGCCUGGAGCUCUACCUGGACCUGAUGUCCCAGCCCUGCCGCGCCGUCUACAUCUUCGCCAAGAAAAACGGGAUCCCCUUUCAGCUGUGCCCCGUGGAUCUGCUCAAAGUGUGGCCAUCCUUCUGUAUCUGAGCCGCAAGUACAAGGCCCCUGACCACUGGUACCCCCAGGACCUGCAGGCCCGCGCCCGUGUGGAUGAGUACCUGUCGUGGCAGCACACCACCCUGAGAAGUUGCUGCACCAGGGCCACGUGGCAGAAGCUGCUGUUCCCUGUGUUCCUGGGCCAAGCUGUGCCCCCUGAGACGUUGGCAGCCACGUUGGCUGAGCUGGACAGGUGCCUGCAGCUGCUUGAGGACAAGUUCCUGCGGGACCAGCCCUUCCUUGCUGGUCCCCGAAUCUCCGUGGCUGACUUGGUGGCCAUCACGGAGCUGAUGCAUUUGCUGAGUCUCCAAAUGCCAGCUCAAACCAGCCGUGUGGACCAGGGUAUGGAGGCUGCACCGAAGAGGACUUUCCCCAGGAGGCCCCUGCAGUUCUGAAGGCCAAGGCUAAGCCUCCAGCAAACCCUGCCAUGAGGGAGAAGCUGAGGUCCACAGUGAAGCGUUUCUCACACUGAGCUAGUGGCCAGGUGCUGUGUGAGUCUGGUUCAUGGACCCCGUUGCUGGGAGGGACGUUCCUGGCCUUGCAGGUGUGGUGAGCAGUGGUCCUGACUGAUACCCACUCUUCACCCCACCCACUGCCCACAGCCUUCUCCAUGCCCCACUCCAAGUCUCAGAUUUGGCCAUCUUUUUUUUCUUUUAAUAUUUAUUUGUU